rnacentral:rRNA from 1 species
AGAGUUUGAUCCUGGCUCAGGAUGAACGCUAGCGGCAGGCCUAACACAUGCAAGUCGAGGGGCAUCGGGGAAAAGCUUGCUUUUCCGCCGGCGACCGGCGCACGGGUGCGGAACGCGUAUGGAACCUGCCCCUGUCAGGGGAAUAGCCCAGGGAAACUUGGAUUAAUGCCCCAUGGUACCGCGAUAUCGCAUGAUAUUGCGGUUAAAGAUUUAUCGGACAGGGAUGGCCAUGCGUACCAUUAGUUAGUUGGUGGGGUAACGGCCCACCAAGGCAGCGAUGGUUAGGGGCCCUGAGAGGGGGAUCCCCCACACUGGUACUGAGACACGGACCAGACUCCUACGGGAGGCAGCAGUGAGGAAUAUUGGACAAUGGGCGGGAGCCUGAUCCAGCCAUGCCGCGUGCAGGAUGACGGCCCUAUGGGUUGUAAACUGCUUUUAUACGGGAAGAAAUGCGCCCACGUGUGGGCGUCUGACGGUACCGUAAGAAUAAGGACCGGCUAACUCCGUGCCAGCCGCCGCGGUAAUAC